rnacentral:rRNA from 1 species
CUGCACUUGGCCCCAUGCAUGAAAUAUGUUGCAUUUGAAGGAAAGGACACUGGGAGGAGGUUCUAUGGAUGUGCUGUUCCUCAGGAUGGUAUUGAUUGUGGAGUUGCUCAGUGGGUUGAUGCCCCAUGGCCUUCUGUUCUGCAAAGAUGUUUGGUGAAGAUAUGGGAGAUGUUUCAUGAGGAGAACAAUGGCAGAAUGAUUGACCAUGAGAAGUAUAAGAAAGAGUUGGAGAAGGUGCACAAGGAGUUGGAUACACUUGGUGAUCAGUACAAUCAGCUGGUUGAGGAUGUCACCAAGAUGUUUGAUUGGGCAGAUCAGAACAACUGGGUCAUGAGUGAUGAAGAGUUCAAGCAGAAGCAGAUGGAUGUGGACAAGGACAUGGAGAAGCUAGCUAUCAGCAGGAGAAGGACAGUGAUGGCAUUGGCAAGAUGA